rnacentral:rRNA from 1 species
UACAGAGGGUGCGAGCGUUAAUCGGAUUUACUGGGCGUAAAGCGUGUGUAGGUGGUUAUUCAAGUCGGUUGUGAAAUCCCUGGGCUCAACCUGGGAACUGCUUCCGAGACUGAAUGACUAGAGUACGGUAGAGGGUGGUGGAAUUUCCGGUGUAGCGGUGAAAUGCGUAGAUAUCGGAAGGAACAUCAAUGGCGAAGGCAGCCACCUGGGCCUGUACUGACACUGAGACACGAAAGCUGGGGGAGCGAACAGG